rnacentral:lncRNA from 1 species
UGACUGGUGGCUUUUAUAAACUAGGUUCAGUUUUUGAACCGCCCAGAAUACCUCAUGUGUAAAUACAAUAGUCAUGACUUAAUUGAAAUACAGUUAUUGUAAAAAGAAUGUGAAGCCACUGGUUGGCUUAUGCCUUCUGAUUAUUAUCCUCGCCUCUUUUUUUGUAAAGGGGUUGUUUUUUGUUUUUGUUUUUAAAUAGGGUUUACAGCUAGAAUUUUGAAUGCCAAAGUUCUAUUUAUUAAAUUUUAAAAAGUUUUCAAUGUUAAUGGCUAAGUAUUUUUCCACUGGACUAUUGUUUGUUGAUGUUGGAAUUUGUAUUAACAG